rnacentral:lncRNA from 1 species
GCGAAAUACAAUAAUAAAUAGUCAAGAAAUCAGCGUAUUUCAACAAUGGGACCAACGUUGAGGAAGGUGGUCUUCAUCGCGCUGUUGGGCCGGAACCAGCCCCGCCGAAAGCGCAGGUCUGUGUAGGUCCAGAGAUGGUUAAAGUCCUGAAAGCGCAGGUCUGUGUAGGUCCAGAGAUGGUUAAAGUCCUGAAAGCGCAGGUCUGUGUAGGUCCAGAGAUGGGUUAAAGUCCUGAAAGCGCAGGUCUGUGUAGGUCCAGAGAUGAAGCGCAGGUCUGUGUGGGUCCAGAGAUGGUUAAAGUCCCGAAAGCGCAGGUUUGUGUGGGUCGAGAGAUGGUUAAAGUCCCGAAAGCGCAGGUCUGUGUAGGUCCAGAGAUGGUUAAAGUCCCAUAAGCGCAGGUCUGUGUGGGUCCAGAGAUGGGUUAAAGUCCUGAAAGCGCAGGUCUGUGUAGGUCCAGAGAUGAAGCGCAGGUCUGUGUAGGUCCAGAGAUGGGUUAAAGUCCUGAAAGCGCAGGUCUGUGUAGGUCCAGAGAUGGGUUAAAGUCCUGAAAGCGCAGGUCUGUAUAGGUCCAGAGAUGGUUAAAGUCCCGAAAGCAGGCAGGGGAGGUUCAUUCACGUCUCAUUCAAGAGCUUCGACUGUUUGGAAGAGGAAUUCCCAAGUUACGUUCGUCUGGACCGAAGCCAGUUCGAUCACCUGCUCCAGAUGGUUGGAGCCAGGAUCGCCCGGAUGGAUACCAACUACCGGGAGUCCAUCAGCCCAGUCGAACGCCUGGCGGUUUGUCUCCGGUAAAAUACAUUUUUAAAGCCUUUGAUACCAUAAUUUAUAUUUAAUAUAUUGUUGUUUUAAUGUGCAUCCUAGCUAGCUAAAGAGUUCUUUAGUUAAUUGUCCCUAUUUGACAUCAGAUGUACUUUUACAGAAUGUUCAUUAGGACUAUAACUUUUUCCCAAAGUUGGUUUAUAAUCCUUUUUUUAAUUAUGCAAUGUUACCCAAAUGAAAAGAAAGUUGGGGUGCCUUCUGCUCUGAUGAAG